GCAGCAGUGGGGGAUAUUGCGCAAUGGGGGAAACCCUGACCGAGCAACGCCGCGUGAGUGAAGAAGGUUUUCGGAUCGUAAAGCUCUGUUGUAAGAGAAGAACGUGUGUGAGAGUGGAAAGUUCACACAGUGACGGUAACUUACCAGAAAGGGACGGCUAACUACGUGCCAGCAGCCGCGGUAAU
rnacentral:rRNA from 1 species